GGACGGACAAGGUCUGCCCGCGGCACGGCGCUGUCAGAGCAGCGCUCUCAGAGCGCAGGACACAACGUGCAGCUUUAUCUGUGCCCAAAUGCUGACGCGGAGCGAAGCACAAAUAUUUAAGGCCAUAAACACCCUGGUUGAGUAGUCACCACCAAAACAAUUAAUGUCAAACCAGGGUCCUUCCCAGGAUGCCUGGAAACAUCACCCAGAGAUGGAUACUGUCUCCUGAAUCAGACUGGCAUCGUAAGUGCAGCUCCCACUGAUACAACACUGAAGAAUAGAUCUGCAUAUAACGUCCCAUCUAACACAGUGUGCAUCUGGGUACCUUCCAAAAACUUCCUC